UAGGGAAUCUUCCGCAAUGGGCGAAAGCUUGACGGAGCAACGCCGCGUGAGUGAUGAAGGUUUUCGGAUCGUAAAACUCUGUUAUUAGGGAAGAACAAAUGUGUAAGUAACUAUGCACGUCUUGACGGUACCUAAUCAGAAAGCCACGGCUAACUACGUGCCAGCAGCCGCGGUAAUACGUAGGUGGCAAGCGUUAUCCGGAAUUAUUGGGCGUAAAGCGCGCGUAGGCGGUUUUUUAAGUCUGAUGUGAAAGCCCACGGCUCAACCGUGGAGGGUCAUUGGAAACUGGAAAACUUGAGUGCAGAAGAGGAAAGUGGAAUUCCAUGUGUAGCGGUGAAAUGCGCAGAGAUAUGGAGGAACACCAGUGGCGAAGGCGACUUUCUGGUCUGUAACUGACGCUGAUGUGCGAAAGCGUGGGGAUCAAACAGG
rnacentral:rRNA from 1 species